UGAAUUGUCUUUCAUCACCUCUGCCACAGGGUCCUAUCCCAUUUGCCUACAUCUCUCUCCCAUCCUUGGCUCUAAGCUCCAGGAGGACGGAAGCUCGUCUUGCCUCUGACUGCCAGCAGGUUUCCAGGGCCUGUGGACAUGUUCUGCAAUAAAUUGGGCGUUCCAACUGCAUCCUCAGCAUUGACAUCGAAAGGAAGUGCCAUACUGAGCAGCGUUUGCAGCAGUCAGUGCUACGGUCAGCCAUCUACGUGUCUGUGAAGGGCUGGCAUCCACAGCGUGUGUGCCCUCCAUCAUAGUGAAGAACAUCACAAUACUGAAAAGGACAGAAAAAUCCUUAAAAGCAUGGACACAGGAAGGCACCAUGGACCAGGAAAUGGAGUUUCUUCAUCCUCGAUCUAGAGAUCAGCACUGCCAUUAAAAUUGCAGCCUCAUUCCUGGCCCACAGGAGAGCAGACACCGGAGCUUUUAAAUACAAAGGGAG
rnacentral:lncRNA from 1 species